rnacentral:rRNA from 1 species
ACUACGGGUGGCUGCAGUGAGGAAUAUUGGUCAAUGGGCGCGAGCCUGAACCAGCCAAGUCGCGUGAGGGAUGAAGGUUCUAUGGAUCGUAAACCUCUUUUAUAAGGGACUAAAGUGUGGGACGUGUCCUAUUUUGUAUGUACCUUAUGAAUAAGGAUCGGCUAACUCCGUGCCAGCAGCCGCGGUAAUACGGAGGAUGCGAGCGUUAUCCGGCUUUAUUGGGUUUAAAGGGUGGGUAGGCGGUCCGUUAAGUCAGCGGUAAAAUGGCGGGGCUCAACCCCGUCGAGCCGUUGAAACUGGCAGACUUGAGUUGGCGAGAAGUACGCGGAAUGCGCGGUGUAGCGGUGAAAUGCAUAGAUAUCGCGCAGAACUCCGAUUGCGAAGGCAGCGUACCGGCGCCAGACUGACGCUGAGGCACGAAAGCGUGGGGAUCGAACAGGAUUAGAUACCCUGGUAGUC